CUCACAUUUGUGUGAAUAUUUGAUUAUAUCUUUUCAUGUGACAACACUGAAGAAAUGACACUUUGCUACAAUGUAAAGUAGUGAGUGUACAGCUUGUGUAACAGUGUAAAUUUACCGUCCCCUCAAAAUAACUCAACACACAGACAUUAAUGUCUAAACCGCUGGCAACAAAAGUGAGUACACCCCUAAGUGAAAAUGUUCAAACUUCCAGUGACCAGUAUGAGGGAGUGUGAGAGCAAUGGCACCAAAUUUAACACACCUGCUCCCCAUUCACACAUUUUCACUUAGGGGUGUACUCACUUUUGUGAACCACCUCAACUGGCUCCUUUCAACGCAAAGGAGCAACGGCUCUAGUCUGAGUUCCUCUCGGAUAACCGAGCUUCUCACCCUAUCUCUAAGGGAGAGGCCACCCACCUGAGAAAACCCAUUUCGGCUGCUUGUACCCGCGAUCUAAUUCUUUCGGUCACUAGGGUAAAAUCUUUCUUUUCUUUUUUUUUUUAAAUCAGACAUUACAUCCUAGGCAAAUGUUUAUUUUAAUAUUUACAAAUAUAUAGCUAUAAUUGCAUCAGUCUUCACAAUGUUUGACAUUCAGUACGUUUACAUGGACAACAGUAUUCAGAUAUUAACCCGAUAAAGACGAUACUCUGAUUAAGAAACCAGCAUGUAAACAGUGAUUAUUGAUGACCUUUAUCUGACUAAGGUCAUACUCGGAGUAAACAAAUAUCGAAUUGAUACAUGUGGAGUAUUCCUGUUUUAGUCGCAUUAUCGACGUGCAUUAUUGACUACAUUUACGUGUACAGCAGUGAUCUAAUUUUUGACAUUAUUCUGAUUAAUACAAUACUGUGAUUAAGGUGUUUACAUGAGUCGCUUUUAGAAUACUCCUUUCAUGUUCCUGUUUUACGUGUUAUAGAACAGAGAUCGAUUAAGGGCACACAUCAUUGCAUCCCCACACCACCCCGUCUGACGUCCCUCCAGAAUUUCACGUAUCAACAUACAGUUGGUCUUCGUUAUGGGACCAUAUACAGUUUUGGAUGUUUUUAAUUUUUAAUUUUACGAAAGCUUCAAGUGCAGUUAAUUAUGUCAUGCUGUACAUGCAAAUAGACAACUGCUUGAAGCCAUGGGCUGUGUCCCAAACCGCGUACUUGCGUGUAUUUCACUUACUAUAUAGUACGUAAGUACGUGGUUUGGGACGCAGCCACGCUCUCUUGUUUACCGUCAGACAGUUGAGUACGUGUGUGUACGUGUCCUGUUGCACAAUGCGGUGAAAAUUCACACACAAUGUUAAUGGUGUGAUUAAAGUGUGUACUUUGUACCUUAUACCUGUGUACCUUAGGUGUGUUUCUUCCACCACACUGAGAAGUUGUUGACCGCGACCGAUUUGGAAAACCGCUUCAAAGCAGAACUCAGCCCAGCAGUUUGCUGUAUAGGAGGCCAGUCCUGCAGUGAGGGAGAAGCGACGGUGACCUAAUCCUGAAUCCAGAUUUGGGACAGACACCUGACGGUCAGUUUUGUUUCCUUUGGGAGUCUGGAACUGCCUAGGAGUCAGGGGCUCCUUGUGAAACUGCAGUAAAUGUCAGGGACCUGUAAAGUAAAUGUUUACGAACCAUUCUUCUUUGCUACUUUUUAAGACAGUCAGAGACUUGAGUUUGGGUCUUAAGAGAGAAAUUGUAAGAAGAUGGGUAACAGCAUGAGUUCGCGCCAGGAACUUUGGGGAUUUGCAAAGCAAAUGCAGAUCAAAUAUGGGGACCAUUCAGUCCGUUAUCUAGAGAAGUUUAAUAAGUAUGGUCAUUUACCCAUUAGGGGAAGUUUUAAAAUAGAAAAGUUAGGAAAAAAGAAAAAGUUUCAGACUAAGAAGGCUAAAGAGAAAGUGGGGGUGGUCAAUUUUUAUGUUAAUGAAGACUGAAGGAGAGAUGAUAAAUAAGAAACGAGAGGAAAGUAAGUUGAAGAGGGAACACAUAGAAAGAAAAAAUGCUGGUCAUUAUCACGGUCCGCUUUAUUAGGAACACCUGUAAACGUGCACAUUCAUGCACAUAUCUAAUCAGCCAAUCAUGUGGCAGCAGCGCAGUGCAAAAAAUCAGGCCAACAGCUUAGGUAACUGCAUGAUAGUGCCGGUGUACAGGUGUUCCUAAUAAAGUAGACGGUGAGUGUAAGUGUGUGUAUAUGAGUGUGUCACCUGUAUUAUGUGUGUGAUCCAUUAACAGUGUCGUCUUGAUCAGACGUUCUCAUGCUUGGUGUGUAAACUGCAGCAUAAUGGAAUAGUGUGUGUCCUUACAGACUCCAGAUGUGUGUGUUUUCAUCCACUUGGACAAAGCCCUGUGUCUUCAGCAUCACACACCCUUCAUCCAGACUGUGGAGUCACAAAGUGUACAUACAUACAUACAUACAUAAAUACACAAUAGUUAUAGGUAUGAUAUCCAGACAGUAUAGAAGUGUGUGUGUGUGUGUGUGUGUGCAUGCGUGCGUGUGUGGAUUGCUCUUGAGUGUGUUCACCAAGGCACAGGUGGGUAGUUUGUGUUUUCUCUGUGCUUUUCCUUCACACUUUAUGACACAAUGUUGCAAAAUACACACAAAAUCGUGCUUAAUUCUGAAGCAAGUCAGUGAGGCCACAGGCUUAGUCCUAAACCUAGUGCGCGCACACACACACACACACACACACACACACACACACACAC
ensembl:lncRNA